rnacentral:rRNA from 1 species
GACGAACGCUGGCGGCGUGCCUAAUACAUGCAAGUAGAACGCACAGUUUAUACCGUAGCUUGCUACACCAUAGACUGUGAGUUGCGAACGGGUGAGUAACGCGUAGGUAACCUGCCUGGUAGCGGGGGAUAACUAUUGGAAACGAUAGCUAAUACCGCAUAAUAUUAAUUAUUGCAUGAUAAUUAAUUGAAAGGUGCAAUUGCACCACUACCAGAUGGACCUGCGUUGUAUUAGCUAGUAGGUGAGGUAACGGCUCACCUAGGCGACGAUACAUAGCCGACCGGAGAGGGUGAUCGGCCACACUGGGACUGAGACACGGCCCAGACUCCUACGGGAGGCAGCAGUAGGGAAUCUUCGGCAAUGGACGAAAGUCUGACCGAGCAACGCCGCGUGAGUGAAGAAGGUUUUCGGAUCGUAAAGCUCUGUUGUAAGAGAAGAACGGGUGUGAGAGUGGAAAGUUCACACUGUGACGGUAUCUGACCAGAAAGGGACGGCUAACUACGUG